rnacentral:rRNA from 1 species
UACGUAGGGUGCAAGCGUUAAUCGGAAUUACUGGGCGUAAAGCGUGCGCAGGCGGUUCUAUAAGACAGAUGUGAAAUCCCCGGGCUCAACCUGGGAACUGCAUUUGUGACUGUAGAGCUGGAGUACGGUAGAGGGGGAUGGAAUUCCGCGUGUAGCAGUGAAAUGCGCAGAUAUGCGGAGGAACACCGAUGGCGAAGGCAAUCCCCUGGACCUGUACUGACGCUCAUGCACGAAAGCGUGGGGAGCAAACAGG